rnacentral:rRNA from 1 species
UACGUAGGGUGCAAGCGUUAAUCGGAAUUACUGGGCGUAAAGCGUGCGCAGGCGGUUGUGCAAGACAGGUGUGAAAUCCCCGGGCUCAACCUGGGAACUGCAUUUGGGACUGCACGGCUGGAGUGCGGCAGAGGGGGAUGGAAUUCCGCGUGUAGCAGUGAAAUGCGUAGAUAUGCGGAGGAACACCGAUGGCGAAGGCGAUCCCCUGGGCCUGCACUGACGCUCAUGCACGAAAGCGUGGGGAGCAAACAGG